UCCAGACUCCUACGGGAGGCAGCAGUGGGGAAUAUUGCACAAUGGGGGAAACCCUGAUGCAGCGACGCCGCGUGAGUGAAGAAGUAUUUCGGUAUGUAAAGCUCUAUCAGCAGGGAAGAAAAUGACGGUACCUGACUAAGAAGCCCCGGCUAACUACGUGCCAGCAGCCGCGGUAAUACGUAGGGGGCAAGCGUUAUCCGGAUUUACUGGGUGUAAAGGGAGCGUAGACGGCAUGGCAAGUCAGAUGUGAAAGCCCGGGGCUCAACCCCGGGACUGCAUUUGAAACUGUCAGGCUGGAGUGCAGGAGAGGUAAGUGGAAUUCCUAGUGUAGCGGUGAAAUGCGUAGAUAUCAGGAGGAACACCGGUGGCGAAGGCGGCCUGCUGGACUGCAACUGACGUUGAGGCCCGAAAGCGUGGGGAGCAAACAGGAUUAGAUACCCGCGUA
rnacentral:rRNA from 1 species